AGAGUUUGAUCCUGGCUCAAGAUGAACGCUAAUAGUAUGCUUUACACAUGCGAGUCUGACGAAAUAUUUCGUGGCGGACGGGUGAGGAGCGCGUAAAUUGUUGCCUUUUAGUUUAGGAUAAAAUUUAUCGAUUUUUGCUUUAAUAAUCGAAAAAUAAAAAAUUAAUACUAAAUAAAAAAAUUAUUUUAAAUAAUUUGCUAAAAGAUACUUUUGCGUAAGAUUAGAUUGUUGGUAAUUUAAUAGAUUACAAAGUCAUCGAUCUUUAGUUGGUUUGAGAAAACGACCAACCACACUGGAACUGAGACAAGGUCCAGGCUAAAUUUUUAGCCAGCAGUGAGGAAUAUUGGACAAUGAACGAAAGUUUGAUCCUGCAAUACUAUAUGAAUGAUGACGGCUAUUUUGGUUGUAAAGUUCUUUCGUUUAAAACGAUAAUGACGUUAUUAAAAGAAGUUUAAGUCCCGGCUAAUCUCGUGCCAGCAGCCGCGGUAAUACGGGAGGGGCAAGCGUUAUCUGGAAUUAUUGGGCGUAAAGAGUCCGUAGGCUGUAUUAUAAGUUAUUUGUUAAACCCUAAAACCUAAUUUUAGAAAAGCAAUUAAUACUAUUAUACUAGAGUUUUGAAUAGAAAAGCAGAAUUUCAUGUCGAGGAUUCUCUGUAGACACAUGAAGGAAUAUCAAUAGUGAAGACAGCUUUUUACUGAAAACUGACGUUGAGGGACGAAAGUGUAGGUAGCAAACAGGAUUAGAUACCCUGGUAGUCUACACUGUAAAUUUUGAGUGCUGUAAUUUAAAAUUAUUUUAGAUUUUUAAGCUAACGCCAUAAGCACUCCGCCUGAGGAGUACGGUCGCAAGAUUAGAACUCAAAGGAAUUGACGGGGGCCUACAACAAGUGGUGGAGCAUGUGGUUUAAUGCGAUAAUCCGCGCAAAACCUUACCAGCCUUUGACAUAAUACAAAUAAAUAAAAACCUUUUUAGUUAAGGCUUUUAAUUUAUUUAUUACAGGUGUUGCACGACUGUCGUCAGCUCGUGUCGUAAGAUGUUUGGUUAAUUCCUUUAACGAGCGCAACUCUUAUCUUUAUAUAAGGUUUUCAUCCUAAUAAAAGUUAGACAUUAACUUUUUAAGCUUUAAAAGAAACUGCCAAUGAUAAAUUGGAGGAAGGUGAGAAUUAAGUCAAGUCUCUGUGGCCCUUAUAGGCUGGGCUACACACGUGCUACAAUGAAAAUUACAAAGAGUUACAAAAUUAUUUUUAAUUUAUGUUAAUCUUGAAAAGUUUUUUUAGUUCGAAUUGUAAUCUGAAACUCGAUUACAUGAAGUUGGAAUCACUAGUAAUCGCAAAUCAGCAUGUUGCGGUGAAUAUGUAUCUUGGCCUUGUACACACCGCCCGUCACAUGCAGAGAGUUAAAUUUAUUUGAAGUUUUGAUAAAAUGUUGAGGAAGUUAAUAUUUUUAGCAUUUACAAAACCAUUAAGAAUUUAAUAAUUUGGAUGAAGUCGUAACAAGGUA
rnacentral:rRNA from 1 species